rnacentral:rRNA from 1 species
AUUGAACGCUGGCGGCAUGCUUUACACAUGCAAGUCGAACGGUAACAGGCCGCAAGGUGCUGACGAGUGGCGAACGGGUGAGUAAUGCAUCGGAACGUGCCCAGUCGUGGGGGAUAACUACUCGAAAGAGUAGCUAAUACCGCAUACGAUCUAUGGAUGAAAGCGGGGGACCGUAAGGCCUCGCGCGAUUGGAGCGGCCGAUGUCAGAUUAGGUAGUUGGUGGGGUAAAGGCUCACCAAGCCAACGAUCUGUAGCUGGUCUGAGAGGACGACCAGCCACACUGGGACUGAGACACGGCCCAGACUCCUACGGGAGGCAGCAGUGGGGAAUUUUGGACAAUGGGCGCAAGCCUGAUCCAGCAAUGCCGCGUGCAGGAAGAAGGCCUUCGGUUUGUAAACUGCUUUUGUACGGAACGAAACGGCUCUGGUUAAUACCCGGGGCUAAUGACGGUACCGUAAGAAUAAGCACCGGCUAACUACGUG